AGGUCCCAUUUGUCCAGGGGAUUGGUCCUGGUGUCAUUCCAACCAAUUUGGAUUUAAGCAUUGAUGAAGUCAUUCAGGUGACAAGUGAGAAGCUAUUGAAACAGCCAAGCUUCUUGCUCUUAAAGAAGGAUUAUUGGUGGGAAUAUCGUCAGGGGCUGCAGCAGCCGCUGCAUUAAAGGUUGCUAAACGGCCAGAAAACGCAGGCAAACUUAUUGUGGUGAUUUUUCCCAGUGGAGGAGAGCGUUAUUUAUCAACAGAACUGUUCGAGUCGGUCAGAUAUGAAGCAGAGCAUUUGUCGAUCGAUUGAUUGCCAAAUGUGUGAUUUGGUUUGGUUUGGUGAGAGAUGUUGGUAACGAGAUUACGGUUUGAUUGUUUCAGAUCAUUGUAAAAUCUGUAAUAGUAUUAGAUGAUGAAUCAUUAUAGUUGUUCUUCAUUACUGUA